GGAUCCAGACUUUGAUUUGGCUCACGAUGAACGCUAGCGGCAGGCUUAACACAUGCAAGUCGAGAGGCAGCGCGGGGCAGCAAUGUUCUGGCGGCGACCGGCGGAAGGGUGCGUAACGCGUGAGCGACAUGCCCGUUGCCCGGGGACAACCGGUGGAAACGCCGACUAAUCCCCGAUGGGACGGAGGCCCUCAUGGGUCUCCGUUGAAAGUUACGGCGGCGACGGAUUGGCUCGCGUCCGAUUAGCUUGUUGGCGGGGUAACGGCCCACCAAGGCUACGAUCGGUAGGGGUUCUGAGAGGAAGGUCCCCCACAAUGGAACUGAGACACGGUCCAUACUCCUACGGGAGGCAGCAGUGAGGAAUAUUGGUCAAUGGGCGGAAGCCUGAACCAGCCAUGCCGCGUGCGGGAAGGAGGCCCUAUGGGCUGUGAACCGCUUUUGCCUGGGGGCAAUAAGGGCGUCGUGCACGUCCGAUGAGAGUACCAGGCGAAUAAGCAUCGGCUAACUCCGUGCCAGCAGCCGCGGUAAUACGGGGGAUGCGAGCGUUAUCCGGAUUCAUUGGGUUUAAAGGGUGCGUAGGCUGUGCGUCAAGUCAGGGGUGAAAUUCCGGGGCUCAACUCCGGGGCUGCCCUUGAUACUGUCGCGCUGGAGUGCGGAUGCCGCCGGAGGAAUGAGUGGUGUAGCGGUGAAAUGCUUAGAUAUCACUCAGAACACCGAUUGCGAAGGCAUCUGGCGAAUCCGUAACUGACGCUGAGGCACGAAAGCGUGGGGAUAGAACAGGAUUAGAUACCCUGGUAUUCCACGCCGUAAACGAUGAUGGCUAACCGCCGGCGACACACUGUCGGUGGCCAAGCGAAAGCG
rnacentral:rRNA from 1 species